rnacentral:rRNA from 1 species
UGAGGAAUAUUGGUCAAUGGACGCAAGCCUGAUCCAGCCAUGCCGCGUGAGUGAUGAAGGCCCUAGGGUUGUAAAGCUCUUUCACCGGUGAAGAUAAUGACGGUAACCGGAGAAGAAGCCCCGGCUAACUUCGUGCCAGCAGCCGCGGUAAUACGAAGGGGGCUAGCGUUGUUCGGAUUUACUGGGCGUAAAGCGCACGUAGGCGGACUUUUAAGUCAGGGGUGAAAUCCCGGGGCUCAACCCCGGAACUGCCUUUGAUACUGGAAGUCUUGAGUAUGGUAGAGGUGAGUGGAAUUCCGAGUGUAGAGGUGAAAUUCGUAGAUAUUCGGAGGAACACCAGUGGCGAAGGCGGCUCACUGGACCAUUACUGACGCUGAGGUGCGAAAGCGUGGGGAGCAAACAGG